UUAGAGUUUGAUCCUGGCUCAGGAUGAACGCUAGCGGCAGGCUUAACACAUGCAAGUCGAGGGGCAGCGAGAUUGUUAGCAAUAACGAUUGUCGGCGACCGGCGCAAGGGUGCGUAACGCGUGAGCAACUUGCCCGUUUCAGGGGGAUAACCGGUGGAAACGCCGACUAAUACCCCAUGGUGAUAUCUUAAGGCAUCUUAUGAUAUCUAAAGAAUUUCGGAAACGGAUAGGCUCGCGUGACAUUAGAUAGAUGGCGGGGUAACGGCCCACCAUGUCGACGAUGUCUAGGGGUUCUGAGAGGAAGGUCCCCCACACUGGAACUGAGACACGGUCCAGACUCCUACGGGAGGCAGCAGUGAGGAAUAUUGGUCAAUGGUCGAAGGACUGAACCAGCCAUGCCGCGUGAAGGUCACGGCCCUACGGGUCUUAAACUUCUUUUGCGAGGGAGCAAUAAGGUUCACGUGUGGACUGAUGAGAGUACCUCGCGAAUAAGCAUCGGCUAACUCCGUGCCAGCAGCCGCGGUAAUACGGGGGAUGCGAGCGUUAUCCGGAUUUAUUGGGUUUAAAGGGUGCGUAGGCGGCCUGUUAAGUCAGCGGUGAAAUUCAGGGGCUCAACCUCUGCCGUGCCGUUGAUACUGGCAAGCUUGAAUGCGGAUGCCGUGGGAGGAAUGUGUGGUGUAGCGGUGAAAUGCAUAGAUAUCACACAGAACACCGAUUGCGAAGGCAUCUCACGAAUCCGCUAUUGACGCUGAUGCACGAAAGCGUGGGGAUCAAACAGGAUUAGAUACCCUGGUAGUCCACGCUGUAAACGAUGAUGACUAACCGUCGGCGAUACACAGUCGGUGGCCAAGCGAAAGCGAUAAGUCAUCCACCUGGGGAGUACGACCGCAAGGUUGAAACUCAAAGGAAUUGACGGGGGCCCGCACAAGCGGAGGAACAUGUGGUUUAAUUCGAUGAUACGCGAGGAACCUUACCUAAGCUUGACAUCCUUUUGACCGAUGCCUAAUCGCAUUUUUCCCUUCGGGGACAGAAGUGACAGGUGGUGCAUGGUUGUCGUCAGCUCGUGUCGUGAGAUGUUGGGUUAAGUCCCGCAACGAGCGCAACCCUUGCCUUUAGUUGCCAGCAUUUUGGAUGGGCACUCUGAGAAGACUGCCAGGGAUAACCUGGAGGAAGGUGGGGAUGACGUCAAAUCAUCAUGCCCCUUAUGACUUGGGCUACACACGUGCUACAAUGGCGUAAACAAAGAGAGGCGAACUCGCGAGGGUGAGCAAAUCUCAAAAAUAACGUCUCAGUUCGGAUUGUAGUCUGCAACUCGACUACAUGAAGCUGGAAUCGCUAGUAAUCGCGGAUCAGAAUGCCGCGGUGAAUACGUUCCCGGGUCUUGUACACACCGCCCGUCAAG
rnacentral:rRNA from 1 species